rnacentral:snRNA from 1 species
GAAACCAAGAAAUCUAAAGAAUGU